GACGAACGCUGGCGGCAGGCUUAACACAUGCAAGUCGAACGCACCGCAAGGUGAGUGGCAGACGGGUGAGUAACGCGUGGGAACGUACACUUCGGUUCGGAAUAGCUCCGGGAAACUGGAAUUAAAACCGGAUACGCCCUUAGGGGAAGAUUAUCGCCGAAGGAUCGGCCCGCGUCAGAUUAGGUAGUUGGUAGGGUAACGGCCUACCAAGCCGAUGAUCUGUAGCUGGUCUGAGAGGAUGAUCAGCCACACUGGGACUGAGACACCGGCCCAGACUCCUACGGGAGGCAGCAGUGGGGAAGUAUUGGACAAUGGGCGGCAAGCCUGAUCCAGCCAUGCCGCGUGGAUGAAGAAGGCCCUAGGGUUGUAAAGU
rnacentral:rRNA from 1 species